rnacentral:rRNA from 1 species
CCUACGGGUGGCUGCAGUGAGGAAUAUUGGUCAAUGGGCGCGAGCCUGAACCAGCCAAGUAGCGUGAAGGAUGACUGCCCUACGGGUUGUAAGCUUCUUUUAUGGAGGAGUAAAGUGAGGCUCGUGUGCCUUUUUGUAUGUACUUUAUGAAUAAGGAUCGGCUAACUCCGUGCCAGCAGCCGCGGUAAGACGGAGGAUCCGGGCGUUAUCCGGAUUUAUGGGGUUUAAAGGGAGCGUAGAUGGGUUGUUAAGUCAGUAGUGAAAGUUUGCGGCUCAACCGUAAAAUUGCAAUUGAUACUGGCAGGCUGGAGUACAGGUGAGGUAGGCGGAAUUCGUGGUGUAGCGGUGAAAUGCGUAGAUAUCACGAAGAACUCCGAUUGCGAAGGCAGCUUACUAAACUGCGACUGACAUUGAUGCUCGAAAGUGUGGGUAUCAAACAGGAUUAGAUACCCUUGUAGUC